AACGAACGCUGGCGGCAUGCCUAACACAUGCAAGUCGAACGAGAUCCUUCGGGGUCUAGUGGCGCACGGGUGCGUAACGCGUGGGAAUCUGCCCUUAGGUUCGGAAUAACAGUUAGAAAUGACUGCUAAUACCGGAUGAUGACGUUAAGUCCAAAGAUUUAUCGCCUGAGGAUGAGCCCGCGUAGGAUUAGCUAGUUGGUGUGGUGAAGGCGCACCAAGGCGACGAUCCUUAGCUGGUCUGAGAGGAUGAUCAGCCACACUGGGACUGAGACACGGCCCAGACUCCUACGGGAGGCAGCAGUGGGGAAUAUUGGACAAUGGGCGCAAGCCUGAUCCAGCAAUGCCGCGUGAGUGAUGAAGGCCUUAGGGUUGUAAAGCUCUUUUACCCGAGAUGAUAAUGACAGUAGCGGGAGAAUAAGCCCCGGCUAACUCCGUG
rnacentral:rRNA from 1 species